AGACGCGGCUAUACGGUUGCUUAAAUCUAAUAUUUAACGGCGUAAAGAGUAAAUUUCAUUACUAUACUCUUCUAAAACUGAGCUAAUUUAUUGUGGUUAAAUAUAUGAAUUUUUAAAAACAGACUAAAGUAGUUUUAAUAACUAAGUUUAUAACUUUACGAAAGUUAGGGCA
rnacentral:rRNA from 1 species